rnacentral:rRNA from 1 species
GCUUAACACAUGCAAGUCGAGGGGCAGCAUGGUCUUAGCUUGCUAAGGCCGAUGGCGACCGGCGCACGGGUGAGUAACACGUAUCCAACCUGCCGUCUACUCUUGGACAGCCUUCUGAAAGGAAGAUUAAUACAAGAUGGCAUCAUGAGUCCGCAUGUUCACAUGAUUAAAGGUAUUCCGGUAGACGAUGGGGAUGCGUUCCAUUAGAUAGUAGGCGGGGUAACGGCCCACCUAGUCUUCGAUGGAUAGGGGUUCUGAGAGGAAGGUCCCCCACAUUGGAACUGAGACACGGUCCAAACUCCUACGGGAGGCAGCAGUGAGGAAUAUUGGUCAAUGGGCGAGAGCCUGAACCAGCCAAGUAGCGUGAAGGAUGACUGCCCUAUGGGUUGUAAACUUCUUUUAUAAAGGAAUAAAGUCGGGUAUGGAUACCCGUUUGCAUGUACUUUAUGAAUAAGGAUCGGCUAACUCCGUGCCAGCAGCCGCGGUAAUACGGAGGAUCCGAGCGUUAUCCGGAUUUAUUGGGUUUAAAGGGAGCGUAGAUGGAUGUUUAAGUCAGUUGUGAAAGUUUGCGGCUCAACCGUAAAAUUGCAGUUGAUACUGGAUAUCUUGAGUGCAGUUGAGGCAGGCGGAAUUCGUGGUGUAGCGGUGAAAUGCUUAGAUAUCACGAAGAACUCCGAUUGCGAAGGCAGCCUGCUAAGCUGCAACUGACAUUGAGGCUCGAAAGUGUGGGUAUCAAACAGGAUUAGAUACCCUGGUAGUCCACACGGUAAACGAUGAAUACUCGCUGUUUGCGAUAUACUGCAAGCGGCCAAGCGAAAGCGUUAAGUAUUCCACCUGGGGAGUACGCCGGCAACGGUGAAACUCAAAGGAAUUGACGGGGGCCCGCACAAGCGGAGGAACAUGUGGUUUAAUUCGAUGAUACGCGAGGAACCUUACCCGGGCUUAAAUUGCAGAUGAAUUACGGUGAAAGCCGUAAGCCGCAAGGCAUCUGUGAAGGUGCUGCAUGGUUGUCGUCAGCUCGUGCCGUGAGGUGUCGGCUUAAGUGCCAUAACGAGCGCAACCCUUGUUGUCAGUUACUAACAGGUUCCGCUGAGGACUCUGACAAGACUGCCAUCGUAAGAUGUGAGGAAGGUGGGGAUGACGUCAAAUCAGCACGGCCCUUACGUCCGGGGCUACACACGUGUUACAAUGGGGGGUACAGAGGGCCGCUACCACGCGAGUGGAUGCCAAUCCCCAAAACCUCUCUCAGUUCGGACUGGAGUCUGCAACCCGACUCCACGAAGCUGGAUUCGCUAGUAAUCGCGCAUCAGCCACGGCGCGGUGAAUACGUUCCCGGGCCUCGUACACACCGCCCGUCAAGCCAUGGGAGCCGGGGGUACCUGAAGUGCGUAACCGCGAGGAGCGCCCUAGGGUAAAACUGGUGACUGGGGCUAAGUA